GAUGAACGCUGGCGGCGUGCCUAAUGCAUGCAAGUCGAGCGAAUGGAUUAAGAGCUUGCUCUUAUGAAGUUAGCGGCGGACGGGUGAGUAACACGUGGGUAACCUGCCCAUAAGACUGGGGUAACUCCGGGAAACCGGGGCUAAUACCGGAUAACAUUUUGAACCGCAUGGUUCGAAAUUGAAAGGCGGCUUCGGCUGUCACUUAUGGAUGGACCCGCGUCGCAUUAGCUAGUUGGUGAGGUAACGGCUCACCAAGGCAACGAUGCGUAGCCGACCUGAGAGGGUGAUCGGCCACACUGGGACUGAGACACGGCCCAGACUCCGACGGGAGGCAGCAGUAGGGAAUCUUCCGCAAUGGACGAAAGUCUGACGGAGCAACGCCGCGUGAGUGAUGAAGGCUUUCGGGUCGUAAAACUCUGUUGUUAGGGAAGAACAAGUGCUAGUUGAAUAAGCUGGCACCUUGACGGUACCUAACCAGAAAGCCACGGCUAACUACGUGCCAGCAGCCGCAGUAA
rnacentral:rRNA from 1 species